rnacentral:rRNA from 1 species
AACGAACGCUGGCGGCAGGCUUAACACAUGCAAGUCGAGCGCCCCGCAAGGGGAGCGGCAGACGGGUGAGUAACGCGUGGGAAUCUACCGUACCCUACGGAAUAGCUCCGGGAAACUGGAAUUAAUACCGUAAACGCCCUACGGGGGAAAGAUUUAUCGGGGUAUGAUGAGCCCGCGUUGGAUUAGCUAGUUGGUGGGGUAAAGGCCUACCAAGGCGACGAUCCAUAGCUGGUCUGAGAGGAUGAUCAGCCACAUUGGGACUGAGACACGGCCCAAACUCCUACGGGAGGCAGCAGUGGGGAAUAUUGGACAAUGGGCGCAAGCCUGAUCCAGCCAUGCCGCGUGAGUGAUGAAGGUCUUAGGAUUGUAAAGCUCUUUCACCGAUGAAGAUAAUGACGGUAGUCGGAGAAGAAGCCCCGGCUAGCUUCGUGCCAGCCGCCGCAGUAAUAC